rnacentral:rRNA from 1 species
GUAGGUGGCAAGCGUUGUCCGGAAUUAUUGGGCGUAAAGCGCGCGCAGGCGGUUCUUUAAGUCUGAUGUGAAAGCCCACGGCUCAACCGUGGAGGGUCAUUGGAAACUGGAGAACUUGAGUACAGAAGAGGAAAGCGGAAUUCCACGUGUAGCGGUGAAAUGCGUAGAGAUGUGGAGGAACACCAGUGGCGAAGGCGGCUUUCUGGUCUGUAACUGACGCUGAGGCGCGAAAGCGUGGGGAGCAAACAGGACUAGAUACCCUGGUAGCCCACGCCGUAAACGAUGAGUGCUAAGUGUUAGGGGGGUUUCCGCCCCCCUUAGUGCUGCAGCUAACGCAUUAAGCACUCCGCCUGGGAGUACGGCCGCAAGGCUG